ensembl:misc_RNA Metazoa_SRP Metazoan signal recognition particle RNA
GCCAGGUGUGGUGGCAUGCACCUCUAGUCUCAGCUACUUGGGAAGCUGAGGUGGGAGGAUGGCUUGAGCCCAGGAGUUCUGUGCUACACCAAUCGCAUGUUUGCACUAAGUUCAGCAUCAAUAUGGUGACCUCUUGGGAGCAAAAGACCAACAGGUUGCCCAAGGAGGGGUGAACCGGCUCAGGGCAGAAAUGAAGCAAGCCAAAACUCCAGGGCUGAUCAGUAGUGGGAUCACAUCUGUGAAUAGCCACUGCAUUCCAACCUGGACAACAUGGUAUCUUAUUUAA